GUUAUAUGGUCAAGUGAAGAAGCGCAUACGGUGGAUGCCUUGGCAGUCAGAGGCGAUGAAAGACGUGGUAGCCUGCGAUAAGCUUCGGGGAGUCGGCAAACAGACUUUGAUCCGGAGAUCUCUGAAUGGGGGAACCCACCUAGGAUAACCUAGGUAUCUUGUACUGAAUCCAUAGGUGCAAGAGGCGAACCAGGGGAACUGAAACAUCUAAGUACCCUGAGGAAAAGAAAUCAACCGAGAUUCCCUUAGUAGUGGCGAGCGAACGGGGAUUAGCCCUUAAGCUUCAUUGAUUUUAGCGGAACGCUCUGGAAAGUGCGGCCAUAGUGGGUGAUAGCCCYGUACGCGAAAGGAUCUUUGAAGUGAAAUCGAGUAGGACGGAGCACGAGAAACUUUGUCUGAACAUGGGGGGACCAUCCUCCAAGGCUAAAUACUACUGACUGACCGAUAGUGAACCAGUACCGUGAGGGAAAGGCGAAAAGAACCCCGGAGAGGGGAGUGAAAUAGAACCUGAAACCGUAUGCGUACAAGCAGUGGGAGCCUACUUGUUAGGUGACUGCGUACCUUUUGUAUAAUGGGUCAGCGACUUAUAUUCAGUGGCGAGCUUAACCGAAUAGGGUAGGCGUAGCGAAAGCGAGUCUUAAUAGGGCGUUUAGUCGCUGGGUAUAGACCCGAAACCGGGCGAUCUAUCCAUGAGCAGGUUGAAGGUUAGGUAACACUGACUGGAGGACCGAACCCACUCCCGUUGAAAAGGUAGGGGAUGACUUGUGGAUCGGAGUGAAAGGCUAAUCAAGCUCGGAGAUAGCUGGUUCUCCUCGAAAGCUAUUUAGGUAGCGCCUCAUGUAUCACUCUGGGGGGUAGAGCACUGUUUCGGCUAGGGGGUCAUCCCGACUUACCAAACCGAUGCAAACUCCGAAUACCCAGAAGUGCCGAGCAUGGGAGACACACGGCGGGUGCUAACGUCCGUCGUGAAAAGGGAAACAACCCAGACCGCCAGCUAAGGUCCCAAAGUUGUGGUUAAGUGGUAAACGAUGUGGGAAGGCUUAGACAGCUAGGAGGUUGGCUUAGAAGCAGCCAUCCUUUAAAGAAAGCGUAAUAGCUCACUAGUCGAGUCGGCCUGCGCGGAAGAUGUAACGGGGCUCAAACCACACACCGAAGCUGCGGGUGUCACGUAAGUGACGCGGUAGAGGAGCGUUCUGUAAGCCUGUGAAGGUGAGUUGAGAAGCUUGCUGGAGGUAUCAGAAGUGCGAAUGCUGACAUGAGUAACGACAAUGGGUGUGAAAAACACCCACGCCGAAAGACCAAGGGUUCCUGCGCAACGUUAAUCGACGCAGGGUUAGUCGGUUCCUAAGGCGAGGCUGAAAAGCGUAGUCGAUGGGAAACAGGUUAAUAUUCCUGUACUUCUGGUUACUGCGAUGGAGGGACGGAGAAGGCUAGGCCAGCUUGGCGUUGGUUGUCCAAGUUUAAGGUGGUAGGCUGAAAUCUUAGGUAAAUCCGGGGUUUCAAGGCCGAGAGCUGAUGACGAGUCGUCUUUUAGAUGACGAAGUGGUUGAUGCCAUGCUUCCAAGAAAAGCUUCUAAGCUUCAGGUAACCAGGAACCGUACCCCAAACCGACACAGGUGGUCGGGUAGAGAAUACCAAGGCGCUUGAGAGAACUCGGGUGAAGGAACUAGGCAAAAUGGCACCGUAACUUCGGGAGAAGGUGCGCCGGCUAGGGUGAAGGAUUUACUCCGUAAGCUCUGGCUGGUCGAAGAUACCAGGCCGCUGCGACUGUUUAUUAAAAACACAGCACUCUGCAAACACGAAAGUGGACGUAUAGGGUGUGACGCCUGCCCGGUGCCGGAAGGUUAAUUGAUGGGGUUAGCGCAAGCGAAGCUCUUGAUCGAAGCCCCGGUAAACGGCGGCCGUAACUAUAACGGUCCUAAGGUAGCGAAAUUCCUUGUCGGGUAAGUUCCGACCUGCACGAAUGGCGUAACGAUGGCGGCGCUGUCUCCACCCGAGACUCAGUGAAAUUGAAAUCGCUGUGAAGAUGCAGUGUAUCCGCGGCUAGACGGAAAGACCCCGUGAACCUUUACUGUAGCUUUGCACUGGACUUUGAGCCUGCUUGUGUAGGAUAGGUGGGAGGCUUUGAAGCGUGGACGCCAGUUCGCGUGGAGCCAUCCUUGAAAUACCACCCUGGCAUGCUUGAGGUUCUAACUCUGGUCCGUGAUCCGGAUCGAGGACAGUGUAUGGUGGGCAGUUUGACUGGGGCGGUCUCCUCCUAAAGAGUAACGGAGGAGUACGAAGGUGCGCUCAGACCGGUCGGAAAUCGGUCGCAGAGUAUAAAGGCAAAAGCGCGCUUGACUGCGAGACAGACACGUCGAGCAGGUACGAAAGUAGGUCUUAGUGAUCCGGUGGUUCUGUAUGGAAGGGCCAUCGCUCAACGGAUAAAAGGUACUCCGGGGAUAACAGGCUGAUACCGCCCAAGAGUUCAUAUCGACGGCGGUGUUUGGCACCUCGAUGUCGGCUCAUCACAUCCUGGGGCUGAAGCCGGUCCCAAGGGUAUGGCUGUUCGCCAUUUAAAGUGGUACGCGAGCUGGGUUUAGAACGUCGUGAGACAGUUCGGUCCCUAUCUGCCGUGGACGUUUGAGAUUUGAGAGGGGCUGCUCCUAGUACGAGAGGACCGGAGUGGACGAACCUCUGGUGUUCCGGUUGUCACGCCAGUGGCAUUGCCGGGUAGCUAUGUUCGGAAAAGAUAACCGCUGAAAGCAUCUAAGCGGGAAACUUGCCUCAAGAUGAGAUCUCACUGGGAACUUGAUUCCCCUGAAGGGCCGUCGAAGACUACGACGUUGAUAGGCUGGGUGUGUAAGCGUUGUGAGGCGUUGAGCUAACCAGUACUAAUUGCCCGUGAGGCUUGACCAUAUAACACCCAAACA
rnacentral:rRNA from 1 species